GGAUGGAUCACCUCCUUUCCA
rnacentral:rRNA from 1 species